rnacentral:lncRNA from 10 species
GUUUUUCAUUUCCAGGCUUAGAAGAAAUAAAGGAAAUAUCCCAGGAGCAAAAACAAAACACACACAUGCUCCUCUCAAGAGUCACUGGCAUCCCAGCUGAAAAGUCAGCUCUACACCUAUGGGACCUAUGGGCCUGUUUCUGAGCUCUGUUUUGUCUCUUUGGUCUGAGUGUCUAUCUGAGGCCAAUACCACAGUACCAAAUGCGAUUGCUUUAGAGGAAGUCUUGAAAUCAGAUGAGGGAGCAUAACUUUCGCAUCUCAGUCCUUCUCCAUUUCCUGAGGCUUCUUCAGGCUCUGGUGUGUGGUCCACCCUGGAGAAUGUCUCGCUCUCCUCUCGAGAGGAACGUGGCUGCGGCUCUGCGUGGACCGUUUGGCAGAGGCUCAUAUGCUGGAUCCACUGGUUGGUUCACGGGGUUCAUUCCUGUCUGUUGAUCUUCUACCUAGUGGCUCCAUCACUCAUUCAAGCCACCCGAUGUCCCUUUUGAUUAUUGUUUACACGGUUCGUCUUUUUCCACCUUUCCCCGUUGGACUCUGACGCGUCUCUGCUGUGGGAAGCGCAUCGCCGCCCCGGCGUCUCUCUCCGCUGCGGGGAGCCCAUCGCGGCCCCGGCGUCUCUCUCCGCUGCGGGGAGCGCAUCGCGGCCCCGGCGUCUCUCUCCGCUGCGGGGAGCCCAUCGCCGCCCCGGCGUCUCUCUCCGCUGCGGGGAGCCCAUCGCCGCCCCGGCGUCUCUCUCCGCUGCGGGGAGCCCAUCGCGGCCCCGGCGUCUCUCUCCGCUGCGGGGAGCCCAUCGCGGCCCCGGCGUCUCUCUCCGCUGCGGGGAGCCCAUCGCGGCCCCGGCGUCUCUCUCCGCUGCGGGGAGCCCAUCGCCGCCCCGGCGUCUCUCUCCGCUGCGGGGAGCCCAUCGCCGCCCCGGCGUCUCUCUCCGCUGCGGGGAGCCCAUCGCCGCCCCGGCGUCUCUCUCCGCUGCGGGGAGCCCAUCGCCGCCCCGGCGUCUCUCUCCGCUGCGGGGAGCCCAUCGCGGCCCCGGCGUCUCUCUCCGCUGCGGGGAGCCCAUCGCCGCCCCGGCGUCUCUCUCCGCUGCGGGGAGCCCAUCGCCGCCCCGGCGUCUGUCUCCGCUGCGGGGAGCCCAUCGCCGCCCCGGCGUCUGUCUCCGCUGCGGGGAGCCCAUCGCCGCCCCGGCGUCUGUCUCCGCUGCGGGGAGCCCAUCGCCGCCCCGGCGUCUGUCUCCGCUGCGGGGAGCCCAUCGCCGCCCCGGCGUCUGUCUCCGCUGCGGGGAGCCCAUCGCCGCCCCGGCGUCUGUCUCCGCUGCGGGGAGCCCAUCGCCGCCCCGGCGUCUGUCUCCGCUGCGGGGAGCCCAUCGCCGCCCCGGCGUCUGUCUCCGCUGCGGGGAGCCCAUCGCCGCCCCGGCGUCUGUCUCCGCUGCGGGGAGCCCAUCGCGGCUCUGGCGUCUCUCUCCGCUGCGGGGAGCCCAUCGCCGCCCCGGCGUCUCUCUCCGCUGCGGGGAGCCCAUCGCGGCUCUGGCGUCUCUCUCCGCUGCGGGGAGCCCAUCGCCGCCCCGGCGUCUCUCUCCGCUGUGGGAAGCGCAUCGCCGCCCCGGCAUCUCUCUCCGCUGCGGGAAGCCCAUCUCUGGGCUGCGCUGCUUCCUGUUCUGCCGCCCUUUGCUUUCUGGCCGCGAUUCCACUGAAUGUGAUCACUGAAAAGGUGGGAUUUGCGUCCACUGUUUUACCAGUUGUUUUCUCUAUGGCUUGUAUCUGUUUUGUUUCUUUACUCUUCUUUUACUGCCUACUUUUAUGUUAAACAGAUAUUUCAUUUAUACAAUUUUAAUUAUUUUGAUGUUUCUUUUACUCCUUUUUAAUUUACUUGCUCAGUGGUUGUUCUGGAGAAUGUAAUUAAAAUCGUAUCUUAAAGCAAACUACUGCAAAUUAAUACCAAAU